UCUGACAUUUGGUUUAAAAUGUUGGAGUUUUUGGUCAAAGAAAGACUAUGAUUCCAGUCAACAGUGUAAACAAGGAGAAAGAAUGUUCAGUGACUGGCAAGGAGGUAAGACGGGGAGAAAGCGUAGGGAAGGCUUGCGGAAGUCUCAUGUGAGGGAGGGGAUAUAAGAGUCCCACUGUGAUCGUGGGAAGAAAAGGGUGGUAAAGGACAAAUAGAUACACAGGGGCCUGAGCUCUCAAAGCAAAUGGAUCAACGUACAUUCAACAGGGGUUUAGAAAAUGGAUAAUCAGAGGAACCUGGCAGAAUCAUAGAUACUUACAUAGUGGCAUUGACAGUCAGCUUCUUGUAGGCACGGUUCUGUUAACAGAUUCAACUGUCUAGCUAAGGGUUGGGAGGAAAACUACAUUUUGAGCUGAACACAUCUGUAUUUGCAACUACUUCUAUGCUGUUGGCCUUGUGUUGGGCUACCAUGAGUAAUGUAGGGAUAACUUUAAAGUCCAUGAGAAGAGGGUGGGAUUUGCUCCAUGCAAAUCCAUCACUGUGUCAUACGGGAGGCUUGGGCAUCAUGGACCUGGGUAACCGUAGUCAUUACUUUUCUCACUGCCACAGCAGAACACCUAGAACAGCUGUCUAAAGAGGGAAGGAUUUAUUCUGGCUCACAGUAGUCCAUCAUGGUGGGAAAGUUACUGUGAAGGUGUGAAGACACAGGUGGUCACAUGGCACCUGCAGUCAGGAAGCAGAGAGACAUGAAUGCUGGUGUUCAGCCUCUUUUUCCUGUCCAGAAUUGUAGCCCAUGUGGGGGUGUCUCCCACAUUCUAGUUGAUUAUAUAUUUUAUCAAGUUAACAAUUAAUAUAAACUGUAACGGUGUCCAUAUGGGCUCCAAGAGUCUCACAUAAACGCCAGAGGCUGGCUAGAAAAGGACAAAUGUGUCCGUGCCAUAAGGUAAUGUAAAGUUAGCGGAUCUUGGUUUGCAGCAUAAGAACAAGUACUUGAAAGGUUACCUCUUCACUUUCAAAAUGGUGGCAUGUAGCUCUUCAGUGGUCUUUGUUACUCAAUUUACUGGAGAACACUGAGUGGGAGAGAGGUUGACACAAAGCACAUGCCUUGGUUUCUCAUUCAUACCACCUUUGUAUUAGUCAGGGUUCUCUAGAAUCACAAAACUUAUGGAUAGUCUCUAGAUAGUAAAGGAAUUUAUUGAUGACUUACAGUCUGCAGCCCAAUUCCCAACAAUGGUUCAGUAGCAGCUGUGAAUGGAAGUCCAAGGAUCUAGCAGUUAACUCAGUCUCACACAGCAAGCAGGUGAAGGAGCAAGAGCCAGACUCCCUUCUUCCAAUGUCCUUAUAUUGUCUCCAGCAGAAGGUGUAGCCCAGAUUAAAGGUGUGUUCCACCACACCUUAAAUCCUGGAUGACCUUGAACUCAGAGAUCUCCCUGUCUUAAUCUUCUGGAAUCCAUAGCCACUAUGCCUCAAGAUCUCCAUACCAAGAUCCAGAUCAGAAACUUCUAUCUCCAAGUCUCCAGAUAAGGGUCACUGGUACGCCUUCCAAUUCUGGAUUGUGGUUCAUUCCAAAUAUAGUCAAGUUGACAACCAGGAACAGCUACUACAACCUUCUGUAAGGGAACUGUGUGGAAAUUACGCGACUUGUCAUUAGUUCUUGCUUUGCACAGAGUGACCUAGCACAGUGAACCCAGGAGUCUGGGCAUGAGACUGAGGUACCAGUCUAGGUUAGCGCUGGCAUUCUGCUACUUUUCCACUGAAGUAGCCUGUACCUUUGCUGCUGCCUGAGAUGGCUCUUUUGAUGCUGUUGAGAGGAAAGAAAUGAUGAAGUCUCAGCAUUCUAGAAGGGAACUUUCUAGAAAGGUGGUGUAGAGAAAAGUGUUACUAAUAUAGAGUGCCCUACUGGGACCCAGUACAAGUUGGAAGCUAACAUGUUCUUUAGCAGCUAGGUAAAAAAUUAAAUUCUAAUUUUGAAGGAAUUGCUCUGUUGAAAUAUACUGUAAUCAGAGACAUUGCCCAAGUCAAAUUAAAAAAAAAAAUGUUGCUGCAGGAAAAUGUAUGGUAGGAAUCAGCGAUGCCCAUGUUAGUGAAACCAUGCAAACAAAUUGAAAGACAGCAGAAAUGGGAGUUUAGAUAAUUCUGGUAAGUAAAGAGAAGCCAGCCACAACAAAAACAGCCCCCACCCCCUUUUUCUUAAUUCCUCUGGUGUCUAUUUCUGGAAAAAAAAGCAUAUUUUACCCUGAAUACUAAAUUUAGCUCUCUAGUCUCUGUUGGUUUAGCCCUGCCUCCAUCAAAAUAUUGUUUUCAAAGAUUUAUGUAACUUGCAGGCCUCAUAUGAAAUUCUUUCAAGUUGUGAUUGCUGAACAGUUGUGUGUCAUUAAUCUCUCCAUUGGAAAUUAAAAUGCCGUGGGAGACCAAGAGGGGAGAGGGGCCUCCUAUAUGUUAAGAGAUCAUGGGAACAGAGCUUCAGAUGACAUCAUCUUAUCGGGAGUGACGUGUCUGCUCUCAGUGUCAAGAGAAGGCUUUGCUGCUCUGAGACGGUCACUUUAAGCCCUAUUAUGUUAACUAAUAAAAAAUAAAAUAACCUCAUUCUAGCUUGUCUAAUCAGAAGAAUCUCUUUGUGAACGCCGAGGAGAUAGGAUUUCAGUGAUAACCUGUUGACAGUCUAUCUUCAGGGGUCGCUAAGUGUUUGCUCUGCAGCGCUAUGGGGCCUCUGCCUGUCCUCUGGGGCCUGCAGACCUACUCCACUGUGUUGUCCCUGCCUGCUUCUGGAUAGCAGAGCCAAGGAGGCUGAAUUGGAAAGUUUGGAUGUGUACUUUUAGGUGGUGCAUAGAUUACUGAUAAAAAGGGUCUCCAGGCGAUUGGCUGCUUUUAUGACAAGAAAGAAUGGCUGAAUAAAUGGGAGUGGUCCUCAGAGUCAGGAGGAGAAAGUUGAUGGAGAGAUCUGAACUCCCUGUUCCAAAGUUUCUUUCAUCACAGUAACUUUGAUCUCUAAUCUUUUGUAAUUUUGAAGUGUCACAACAUUCCAGAGACCCUUGUUAAACUCUGUGUUUUAUUCACUUCACAGAAGGAGACCCUGUGUUGUUGUUUUUCACCCCCUGUGAGUGUGCUGUCCUGUGUUAUGAGAACACGUGUCACUGUGAUCAGACACCUGAGAGAAACCAUAGUGAGAUGAGAUGGAUGAAAAGUUUAUUUUAUCUCACAGUUUCAAAGAUUUCCAUCCAGAAUCAUUGGCUCCAUUGUGUCUGUGACAUGGUGGGACAGAUGUCAUGGUGAUGGGUCCAUCUGGCAGAGCCACUCACCUCAUGCUGGUCAGGAAAUAGAGGUGCUUAAAACAAGACUCAGUGUGAAGACGUGGCCCCAGAGACCUACAUCAGCUACCUAAGCCCUAUUCUUAAAGUUUCCAGGAUUUUCCAUAAUAGUGUCACUAAAUAAGGACCAUACUUUCAGUACAGGAUCCUUUGUGGGGGAGGGAACACUUCUUUCUAAACCUUAAUAAGGUGGGGCAUCAGGAAAGUACAAAAUCCCCAUAUUUCUGAAAUCCAAAACUAAGGCCUGAUUCGAUUCUAAAGAAAAGUUUCAGUUUGGGGACCAUUUGGGCUUGUUGUUGUUGUUGUUUGUGUGUGUUUGUUUUAAUUAAAUAGGAAUGUUUAACCAAUAAAUCUAGAUGGAUAUUUCAAAGUAAAACCUUCCAAAAAUCUGGACCAUUUUCUGAGCUCAAACAUUUCAGAUGAGAAUCGUUCUCCCUGUAUUGAUCAUCUCUCCACUUUGUCCUACAGAACUUAAUUUGUUCAUUUAUGUAUAUGACUUCUAGUCAGCUUUUCAUUGCCCACUCCUGUGGAGGAAGUGAUAUAGGGAACAGAUUGAUAUGGCCUGGCACAGAAAGCUUACAGCCUGAGAGUGUUGGGCAGGAGUCAGGAGAGAAGCUAGGGCCACAGGAGAAGCCGCAGGGAAGGCAUGUGACAGUAUGUGACAGGGAAGGCAUGUGACAGUGUACCUGUAUGAAGCCUCAGUCUCUACUCCUGUGGAAACUCUGAGAAUGGGUCCAGCUAGCAGGGAAGGAGUCCCUGGGAGGUUGGCAGCCAUUAGUCCAGCAUUUAAUAAUGGGCCACCGACAUUGGAUCUAUUUGACUAGGAAUCUAUCAUGGCUCCCCUCCCCUUUUUCUCUGCAACCCCUUACACAAAUUCUUUAAUAUCUUGUAAGUCGCACCAGGAAAGGACAAUUCUUCUCUUUCUUUGAUACUUUCCAGCACACAGCCCAGGGAUGGCAUACUGGGGUGCGGAGACAGCCCCUAUGGAGACUGCCUUCUCAGGUGGUUCACAGUGGUGUUGAGAUGACAAAAGUAACCGUUCCUUCUCAGCUGGGGAGAGUGCACGUGCCUGUCAUUUGGGUCAGGAGUUGAGAGUCAUUCUCAGCUAGAUAGCUAGUGAAUCUCAGUUCUAGGCCAGCCUGAGCUACUUGAGACUUUGUCCAAGAGAGAGAAAGAAGGGAAGAAAGGAAGGGAGGGCGUGAGGGAGGGAGAACAGAAGGAAGGAAGAAGGAGAGAAAAGUAAGAAGGCCCUCUAAUAUGGCUAAAAGUCACUACAGCUGUAUAUGUUUAUUCUGAUUAAUAUUAUCAAGUACUUUGCCUUUAUUUAGCCUUGGCCUGUUACUAGAAUCUCUUGCAAGAGUCACAUGGGGAAUGCUGAUAAAACGCCUGUGUUCCUAUUGAUCACAGAGUGGGGCUUAUCUAUCUUAGAGAACAGAACUAACUAAGCUGGAUCUCUGAUAGAGUAUUCCAUAUUGACAAAAGCUUCUUAGAAUGAAUUUGUUUUUAAAGUGGCACGGGGGUUGGGGGAGGAGCACAUAGUGUGUAUCUUUUGCUGGAAAAAUACAGUGUGUAAUUAUUAAACAGCUGGCGCUAUUGGUAAACUCAUUCGAAAGGUGGAGAUCAAACUGCCCAGGGAUGGACGUCUCCUCACUGCAUUUAAGUUGAAAAAGUAAGGGGCAGUAGAUGCACGCUGGCUUCUCUCUAGUCCUUCUAGAUGGCCCUUGUAGCCUCUGCAGAAACUGUGUAUGUACUAUUAACUCUUAAGUUUUCUUUCUUUAUUUUGGGGGGUGGGGAGGUGGGGUUUCGAGACAGGGUUUCUCUGUGUAGUCCUGGCUGUCCUGGAACUCACUCUGUAGACCAGGCUGGCCUCGAACUCAGAAAUCCGCCUGCCUCUGCCUCCCAAGUGCCGGGAUUAAAGGCAUGUGCCACCACCGCCUGACUUAAGUUUUCUGUUAAGUGUGUCUGUGUGUGUGCAAGAAGUGCACAUAUGCUUGCAUGCACAUAGGAUUGCAGGCUGAGAUCAGAGAAUAACUUCUUGUGCUAUUCCCAAUUUUGUCAUCCUAGUUUGUUCUUUGACUUUUUUUUUUUUUUUUAAUUUUUUAAGAUAUAGCCUCUCACUGGCCUGAAGCUCACAUCAGGUAGGCUAGAAUUACUGACCUAUAAGUCCUGGAGGUAUACAUUGCCUGAGCCUCCUCAGUACUAAGAUAACUGACAAGCUACCACUCCAGGCUUUAAUAUGUUUUUAAAUAUGGGGGCUGAGAUUGAACUCGGGUCCUACUGCUUAGCAAGCAAACAAGCAAGCAGUUCACUGAUAGGGCUAUGUCCCCAGACCCUAGCUUGUCCCUUUUGUGAUGGUACUCAAAAUAAGAUUAACUUCUUCUCACACAUUCAUCCUCAGCAAGGUUUCUAAAAGCACAGGGCAUACACUGCCAUUUUUCAUGCUCCCAGCCAUGAGUGUCCUGUUGCAGUCUCUCCUUGAGCCCUUGAGCAAGGCAGAGAGUCUGCCGACCCACUGCUAACCCUUCCCAUGCUGCUUUGUCUUGCCCUGAACUUCUGUCUCUCCACAGAGGAGGGAAGGUGACAUGAUGUCUUUUUAGUCAUUCAAAUCCAAUAACUUUUAAUCUGAAGGUUAAGUAGUGAGAUAUAAACUAAGAGAUGAUAAUAUCAAUUUUAUGUUCACUGAAGGGCACAAUAUACCUCUUUCUAGUCGAGGGAAAAUUGUGCGUAAAAUGUCUUUUGCUUUUCCGUAGCAGAGCCAUGCCUUCUCACAGCCACAGGAAGAAAGAUUUGGGGAAAAUUUUUAAUAAAAUAAGAUGUAGCAUCAUAAAGCAGGGCAAGAGUGGCGUUUCGUGAUUCUAAUUAUUAUAUAUUAAUUUUUCAAGGCUGCGUGGCGCAGAGCAGCGCUCCUCUAAGGAAGGCUUCCCCCACUGAUGCUCAUUAUCCUCCAUAAGAACUCAGCCACCUUUUACAAGGUCAAAGACGGCGAGGGAAUGACACGAUGCUCAUUCUUUUCUGACUAUUUUUGGUCCUAAUGUGUGUGAUAAAUAACACCUUGAUCAUAUUGCUUCCCUCCCCUCAUUUUGCUCCUUCCUCCUGGUGAGCUCUCCAUUUUGGUGCAGUAAGCAUUGAACGUGCAGAAGCACUGGCUGGAAAUGCCUCUACCCGAUUCCCUUUCAUUCUGCUGUUCGGGUCAUGAGACUUAUAUUUGUCUUAUAAAUACAAAGUUUUAUGCUGCGUAUUAUGUGUCUAUGUCAUGUGUCCUUGUGUGCGGACUUACCGUAGCGUUCACCUGUCGGUCAGAUGGGGAUGACAUCAUGCACAGGGUGGGCAUGCUUUAGUUAUCAUCACCGUUGUCAAGGUUAUAGUCUGUAAUGGGGUGAUUCAUGACAGUGAUUGUGAGGGUGGCAUUCUGAAAGGAAUCUUCAACCUGCCUCAGCUGUUUGUUGGGCACGUGUGGCGUACAAGCACCAAAGAGCUAUGGCGCUCAGGCCAAGUCCAGCCUAGCAUUCCAUACUGCAGAGUCCUAUGUAAACGAAGUGAUACUCUUUGUUUAACACUGUCUACAGCUGUCUGCAUGCCUGCACAGCUGUAGUAGUAAUUGUCUCACAGAUGUGACAACAUGGCUGUCAAAAACAAUUUAAGGAUGCAGAAAUGAAUUUUGCCCUGAAGUUUGUGAGGGUCCAGCCCAUCAAUGGGAGAGGUUACAGUUGCAGAACCAAGAGGCAUCUGGGCACAUUGCUUCCAUAGUCAGGAAAUGGAAGCAGACGCUCUGCUUGCUUUCUCCUUUUCAUCCAGUCUGGUAGGUCCGUCCAUUGGAUGUCUACCCAUAUUUAUGGAGGUUUUCCUUUUUAAACAACACAGCCUCCAUAGAUACACCUCUACAGGUGUGUUUCUUUGGUGAUUCUAAACCCCAUCAAGUUGACAGUAAAGAUUUAACUGUUACAAGAGCCAGCCAAGGUAACCUAUUACAGCAGAAGUUAUAUGUCCCAGAAACCCUGAAAUGUGCACGGUCUUGCACUUCACAGAAAUAGUAGCCCUCCCCUGGGUUGUUGAGUAGAAUGUGAAAUGUGUGGCAGAUUUUCUGCUCUUACUUUGUAGUCAUAGGGUAGAUGAUGCUUUGUGUAUAUAUGUGUGUGUGGGGGGGGGUCUAUGAGUAUACAUGUGUGUGAGUGUGUAUUGUGUGAAUGUAUGUAUGAGUGUUUUGAGUAUGUUAUAUAUGCAUGUAUGUGCUUAAGUGUGUGUGAGUAUGUGUGAGUGUGUGUGUGUAUGGGGGGUCUACAUAUAUAUACACAUAAUUUACAACUUUGGCUUUUGGUUUCUAGUCUGAUGUAGUGACAGGUGGGUGUAUUCACACUUCCGUUGUUCUUGUUUUCGGAAAUUUAACUGAUAGUGUCUUACAAAUUAAGAAAUUGGAUAUUAGUAAUAGUUAAAAACCCUUGAGGCAGCCUGCUGAGGAAAUGGGGAUUGGACAUUCUUGGCGAGUCACGGAGAGUAGCUGUCCUCAGUCUCGGCUCCCUUGCUUCCAGUGUAGGCUUUCUCCCGCUCAUGUUCUCACCAGCAGACACCACAGAGAAAUUCGGCCUUUCCCUCUCCCUUUGCGUUCUAGGAAUUCACAGUCUAAUUGGGGUGCAAUAAGAUAUAGAAGUACAUACAGGAACCAUCAAUAGAAAUCUUAAUGCAUACAAAGAUAAACUGAAGGAGACAAGCAUAAGCUAAUCAAUCGAUAGAAGAAUGAUUUGGGUCAUAAAUCCUCAGUGGCCUGGAGAGAAAAAUUAGUAUGUGCAUAGUGGGUUUUUUUUUUAAAGGCUUUAGUGAAACUAGAAAACAGAAACUUGAGUGUGUGAGCAUCUGCUGAUUUAUUUUAAACCUUUCAGUGGGAAAUAUCAGAGCAGAGAUAGAUUGCUGAGCUGUAUAGCCUUGACUUGUGGCUUGGAUAAUUAAGGAUCUGAAAAGUUUGUCUUGGACUCCUUUAAUUCUGAGAUAGAUGAGAUUAGGAGCAACUGGUGAGAUAGAUUUGAGCUAUGGAGCAUCUGGUGGCAGAUAGUGAGUUGAGGUGUCUUCAUGACCGACCUGAGUUCACUGGGCUGCAGGACAUAGCUGCUGGAGUCUCUGUUAACAUAGCCUGUGGUGUGAAUGUGAGAUUUGCAGGGAUGAGAUGGGGCCUGUUAAGUCUGGCUUGUUUCCUUGGUAAGGUCUAUAUUUCCUAUGCUUUAAUAUCAAAUUCUAGCUACUUACCUCAUCCUAUAAUUAGAAUAAUUGAAACCUUAGUACCUGAUUUGAUAAUAGUUGUCAAAUCUGAAGAUUGUUGUUCAAUGCACUUAUUAACUGUAUUUUCCAGAAGAUGGAGUCAGCUUUGGUAUUUUUUAUCCUUUUGGGGCCUUUUGUCUUUUCUUUCUUACAUAGUUGCUUCUGGGUUUUUUUUUUUUUAAUUUUUAAAAUUUUUUAGAGCUUAUCCAAUAUUUCACAAGUGAUGAAAAUGUGUUCAUUUCUGUCACAUACCUAUUGUCAAACAACAUUGGCUAUGGAGUGUGUGUGUGUGUGUGUGUGUACAUACAGGCAUAUGUGGGUACAUAUCUUGAGGAGGCACGCAUAGGGGCAUGUAUGUGUGCAUAUGCAUGUAGUUGUGUGCAUGCAUAUGUGUAAGUACAAAAUUUUACAGUUCUGUAGAUGACCCUUCUCAUUCCCUCUGCAGAAUUUUUGGUAUGCUAACUUGUUCAAUGUUUGAACAAAUAUUUCUAUCCUUUUCCAGGAUUACUUUAAGUUAAGCCUUUUAGUCGUCUAUCUCUGACUUGGAGUAGGGCUCUUCUUUUGGCUGUAAACACUCUACAGCAUGUUCCUUGCAUUAUUUCUCAGGUACCACAAUACCCCAGCCGAUUCUGAAGAAAACUCUGUAAGGCAUGGAGUCAGGUUAAGCCUGGAGCCCUGAGAGCCAUUUCACAUUCAUUCAGGUGGCUGGACCCACCUUUACACUCUUCAUCUCAUCUCUCCUCACUGCAGAACCCAUGUGUGAGGCAGGUCCAUGAUCUAUGAACCAGGUUCAUAGAUCUACCAGCCAGGUUCAUAGAUGUGGUCCACAAAGCAUGGACAGCCCCUUUGGCUCAGAGAUCCACACUGUCUGCUUUGUUUGCAAGGAAUUGCAUCUUUCUCAGAGGUUCUUGUGGGAUUGUGUUGAGGACUUCUUAGAACUGAUUGCCAGACUCUCCUUCAGAAUUCUCAAAAUCCUGGAUGGGUCCAACAAUUUGCUUCUUUGGUUUCUCUCACCCAUCUUCCACUGCUUGACUGAAGAGCCACACUGGUGGAAUGGCUGGCAGGCAAGGUUAGAUUGUGGGACUGAAGCUCUGGCCCAAGUCACAGUCCUUCCUAGAUGAGUUAUUCUGGACAUCUGAAAACUCUGCACCUCAGUUUUCAUAUCCAUCAAAUGGGGACAGCAUCACCAUUCACUAUCCCGAGGACAACAAAGGACCAAGAAAUUGCAGCACAUUGUAAUGGUCUGCAGAUGUCAGCUGGUGCUGUUAUUAUUAACACCACUGCCACCACCAAUAAGAAUUUAACCUACAAGAAUAGUAUGUGGAAUACAAAGAAUCUAAUCCAUGACUGUGUUUUUUUUAGUGUAGUGUUUAAAAAAUAAAAGGUUGAAUAGUUCCUAAAUCUGAUGGGAGAAGAAGAGUUCAGUGGGUGGUUUUCACAUAAAAUUUUAUAGCCAUUAAGAAUAUCAUACCUGGGCUGCUAAGGAGGCUGCACCUGGUCUCUGUGGCAUAUGUCUCUGUGGCAUGUACCAUGAGUAUGCACACAGCUGCUCACACACGUGUAACAUGCAUAAAAAUAAUAACACUUGUUUAAUAUUUAAUUACCUGAGGACUGACCGUGCUUUGUUGGGUGGGGAGGUGCCCUGACCCCUGCUCUUUGGUUUCGUUGUAGGAUUCUUGUGUGUUUACCAUUACUUUUUUUGCUUUUCUGUAUAUCUCAAGGUUUCCAUAGCAACAUUGGGUCUCUACUAAAAAAAAAAAAAACAAAAAACCAGAAGGUGCUUUUAAGAUAAGACCCUGCAGGAUGCAAAUGAAAUACAUAUGAAAUACAUAUAAUGAUCUUGAUCCUGUGCAGUGCCUUGGUCACAGUUUUUUCUUAGACAAUAAAAUAAUUUUAAGAAUUCCUUUCACAUUUAUUUCUUCAGUCACCACUUGUCUGGAUGCGCUCUCCAGAUCCACCAGUUUUCUGGAUGUUCCCACCAUGACCUGUGACCAAGGCAAAUCAUCCUUACUGAACCUUACUCUUCUGUGACAAAAGUCAAAACUCUGCCAGUGCCCAGAGAAGUGGGAAAGAAAGCAGGCCUCACUCUUCUGUUUUGCUUUUCUCCAUUCUCCUCCAUCCCUCGAGCCUCCCAGGCCCUGUGGACACCCCCUUCCCAUAGCCACAGGCACACAUAGGUACACGCUUCUCGGUCACUUCUUCUGUCCUUUCUGAGGCUACUUCCCUUUGGGAGUUGUAGAGGUAGGGGGACCAUUUGACUGGAAUUCCCUGCCAGGAGGGUGGAACCCCACCUUUCACAGUUCGUGCAUGAGAAAAGCUGUCCCAGCCAGGCAGUGGUGGCACACACCUUUAAUCCCAGCACUUGGGAGGCAGAGGCAGGCAGAUUUCUGAGUUUGAGGCCAGCCUGGUCUACAGAGUGAGUUCCAGGACAGCCAGGGCUACAAAGAGAAACCUUUUCUUGGAAAACCAAAACAGCAACAAAAAACAAAAAAAGAAAGAAAGAAAGAAAGAAAGAAAGAAAGAAAGAAAGAAAAGAAAAGAAAAGAAAAGAAAAGAAAAGAAAAGAAAAGAAAAGAGAAAAGUUGUCCCGUGUGACCAGCAUUCUGUGUCUCCAUUUUCUUACCUGUAAAAUGGAGCAGCACAAAUUCACCUUUCUGAAAGAGGUGGUGUAGUGAAUGUGUAAGUAGCACAUUGCCCUUGGCCAAACAGUCACUGCUUUAAACCGUGCUCAGUACUGGAUCACCCUCCUUGUCCCCCAUCCUUUAAGGAUGGACCAAAGCCAUGGUCAAGAUAGUAUGGAUCCCAACAUACUGGUCUGGUAUGGACUGGGUUGUUUCUCUAGAGUGUUCCAUUCUUUAGCCUGCCCCACUCAUCUUAUAUCCACAUGUAAUCAGUAAACUAUUGAAUUCUCCUUGUUGGAGUCUUCCAAGACCUGCCUCCCAUGGAUCCAGGAAUCCUUGUGCUUUAUAUCACUGGGUACUAGACUGUAAUUCAUGGCCGGUCCCAUCUAUCUACUCAUCUCUUCGUUUAUCCUGACCUCAGUGUGAAGACUGUAGAACCAGUCCUUGUAAGCAAUUAGUACCCCAAUUUAUCAUUUUAGAAAAGAAAACACACAUCCUAAUCAAUACAGAAUCUCUCCUCUGUACCCACAAGCGAGCACCACCAAAGGGGCCCCUUGCACAAAUGUUUUAAAUUUGGAGGCAGAGUUAAGGACACAGUUGGCCUCCAGAAUCUGAAUUGAAUCAGGGUUUUAUUUCAGAUAAAAAUCUUUGGGUCUCAUAACUUAAAAAACACAACUUUUACUGGCAUUACGCAAUUUGCCACGGGUCAUUUACCAAAAUGUUUGUAUAUGUAAGUCCAGGUUCUUCUCUUUAAAAAGAAGGAAGGGUGGAGGGCAGGGGUUGGAUUUUGCUAAAAUCCAGGUGGCGUUCGAGUUUAUAUUUAAUUUUAAUUGGAAAUGAAAUACAGGCAAAGGAGGGGGGAAAGACCCACCAUGUUUUCUUUGCUAAGAGUAUCCAUUGGGGAGAGGAGGGGCACCGGCAGCCAGAUUUUAAGACGCACAUUUUUUAUUGGCAUGUCUAUUUUUUUUUCUGGCUGAAUUUUUAUGCCUGCAUUUUAAAAAAAAUUGAGUUUUCACACAUGGCAGGCAUUUUUAUGUCUCAGUGCCACUUGCCGCCUCCCUCUGUAUUUUCCAUGCAGUUAUUACCUAGAACCAGGAGGGCGUUCUUUAUACGCCACACAGAACCAAGAGCUUUCCCCAAGUCCUCUGCUGAGCCCCUUUUGAAGCUCCAAAUGAGGUAAUAUUUAAUUCUUGCGGUUUAUUUUGAUUUCUGAAAGAGUGAGGAAUUUUGGAAGAAAGAAGAGUAAGUGAAAACCUUCAUUUUAAGCCAGAAUUUGAAGGUCCUACAAAGUACAGGUACAGUUUGUGAAACUGCCAGGAGACACCAGCAGAGAAACUGGACACAGUUAAAUGGCGGGUUCGUGGACAGGCAGAGGCAAUGGGCCAGCCCUGAACUCCCAACAGUGCCCAAGAGAGCAAAACCUUCUGUGUUGGCUCCUGUUUAGAUGUGGGUGUAAUCUGGGCGUUCCGAAUUGGAAACUAAAUAUUAAAUAAUUAUAAAUUUUAGGAUAUACAGAAUAGUUUGCAGAAAAAUUAAAGGAUGCAGGUAAGGACACAGAAAAACGAGAUGUGGUCUUCAGUCCUGUUCUCCUGCAGUGAUGACUCUUAGAGUUCUUUCUCCUUCCAUUUCGAAGAUAAUUCUCCUGACUUCCAUAUAUCUGGUCCCAUUCCCUCCGUGCAGCUUCAGGGAUGGGAAAAUGGCUGACACCAAGGCUGUCUGCCAGCCCACACCCCAGCAGCUGGUUUUCUUACGCAUUAGCUCAUCUUUUUAAUCUCAAUUUUAAUUUUUAAAAAGAUUCUGUAGAAUUUUACUUUUAGAAAAAGAAAUUUCAUGGUUCUGAUUUCCAGCCUCAUUAUUUAUAAACAAUGUCAUUCUCUUAAUAACAUCCCUUCUUCACAUUUGCUCAGCCUUGCUAGAUUAGUUGUUGUUGUUAUUGGUUAUUUUCAAGACAGUGUUUCUCUCCAUAACAAACAGUCUUGGCUAUCCUGGAACUAGCUUUGUAGACCAGGCUGGUCUCAAACUCACAGAGAUCCACUUGCCUCUGUCUCCACGUGUUGGAAUUAAACACGUGCGCCAUCGCACGCCUGGCUGCUGGAUAAUUCUUUAUCAGGAGCAAUUCUUUAAAUAUUAACUCAUUUCUUCAGUCAUUGACUGACUGACUGACUUUUAUAGAUCUUUGAGACACAGUCUUAUUGUGUAGCCCAGUGAGGUCAUAAACCUGGCGACCCUUCUGCCCUGACCUUUUGAGUUCUGGGAUGACAGACAUGCACACCACACCUGGCCCUCCCAUUGAGGGAAAGGAAAACUUUAACAAGGCACCAUGACGAUUAGAUUGUAUUUUCAACAGUGAUUACAUUUUUGGGGGUGGUGGGGGGAGGCAUCCCAAACAUCUCUGCUAUCAUAGACCAGUGUGAGUUGGAAAUCCCUGACAGGAGGUAGUAGCUACAAUAUUAGACAUAGGGUGGUCUCCAGGUUUAUGCGGAGUCUCUGCAUGCGAUGGUGCAGGGUGUGUAUAUAAGACCCCCCCACUCUCCCCUGUGUGUGUGUGUGUGUGUGUGUGUGUGUGUGUGUGUGUAGUUGGAAGUACAAGUCACUGUGAGCUGCCUGCCAUGAGUUUUGGGGUCUGAACUGUGGUGCUGUGCAAAACCAACAAGCACUCAUAAGCAGCCAAGGCAGAACUGAGUACUCUUAAAAUCCCCAUUCUCUAUAAGUGGAAGCACAACUCUCACCCACAUCCCUUCACACAAAAUAUAACUGGAUGCAGCUGAAUUCGAACCUUCACCUGCAGGCUCUAGGGCCUCAGCUGCUUCUCAGACCACCAGGCUGACCUGAGCUAUUUAUUGUGUAAGUGAUAGUUCGUUCAAGUGCUCUCUCCCAUGACGCUCCCCUUGUCCCCGCACUGCAGAGGCCCAGUCUGUCACAUCUUCCAUCCCAUCCCAUUUCAUGUUGUGUCUGGAAAGGAAGUAACCCAGUAUUACUGAAGACAGUAGUUUUUCCAUUGCCAACCUGCCCUUGCUUUACAUGGAGCGCUGGCUUUUUAACAAAUGUGCCCACAGAUCUUUAAAGCAACUGUGAUUUGUGGCUUGUUGGUUUCUUUUCCAGAGGGAGGAAGUCUUGCUCCUCACCUGUUGCUCUGUCUCCUCCUUCUGAGGACUCAAACCUGGUUUACUGAGGAAGACCUCAGCAGUUCCUUCUGACCCUAAACCGUCCAGACAUGGCAAACGCUAGGUGAAAUUGUCAAUGUGCUGUGGGCAGGGAAUGGAGCAGUGUGAUUCUGGGAGAUUUUGGCCAUGUCUCCAAAGCCCUUCCAGAUUCCUGUCUCCUUGUACUAUCAAAAGAUAAAAAGGAUGCUUUUAAGAAAUGGGAAGUCUGGGUUUAUUAAUAAAACUCCAUGUCAGCCAUGAAUAGCAGUGGUUGCAGCAUAUUUUCUAGAAAACUUAAAAGCAGCCAUUCUAAGUUUGACAAGUUUCCGUUUAUUAUGGCUCUUGUGUUUUGUCCAUGGAACCAGGAGGUUUAUACUGCAGACUUUGUCCAGGUGCCCCAAACAGCUGUCAUGGACAGACAAGACUCGGGACAUACUUUCUGUGUUUUCUUUGUAUUGCGUAACAGGCCUGAACGCCUUGCCUAACCAACAAAAAUGUAUUUGGUUAAAAUACUCAAGUACUUUGUGUUUCUUGGGGAUGGGGGUAGGGGUGGGGCUCAUGAUUAGCCCAGUCUCUUUGGUGAAUGAGUUAAACCCUUGGAGGAGUCACAGAUCUCCUCAUUGUUUUAAUAUCGUGGCUUGUUUUGCUUUAAGAAUGGUUCGAGUUGUUGACACAAUGUCCUUUGCUCUCUGAGAGGUAUUUAGUGUUCCUCUCUCCGUGGCUUACCUCCUCUGCUCACAUUGAGGCGUUCGCCACUUAGCAGAGAACAACUGGUUAGCCAAUAAAUAAAAGAUUGUACUCAUGAAGGAUUGUGCUAGGGCGCACGGUGGGGAUUUUAAAGAUUCAUAACCUACAAGUCAAACUAUGUGCGUUUCCCUGGCAGCAAAAUAUCUGUUUGUUUCUGGUUUAGGAAACAGACUUUAAUGUUCAUGCCUGAUUUUACGGAGUUGGCACUUUAUGCCAAGUUCUUGCCUUGUGGUUAAGUCAACUAACCUGUUAGCCAGUGUCUGUUGUGGGUUAGGCCAAAGCCUGCAUGCCAUGCCAGAGAGGACACUUUUAAGUCUGUCUUUAUCUCAUUCUCACCUAUAAAAACAAGCUGGUGUGUCUGCUUUUGGCAAGCACAGCAGAGCAGGCUGAGAAACAAUCUUUGAAGAAAAGUUGUCAUUUGGAAAUUUCCCACUCUAAAGCUGGGAUUUGAGAGGCAGAGAGCCUCCUUUCCCGGAGGUGUCCCUGUGGGCACAAUUGUAUUGUCACAGCAGCAAAGAGACAGGUUUAGUGGGCCAAGGAGAAAACAAGCUAUUGCAGUUCCCUGGAGGAGUCCAAAUGGAUGUCACUGGGAGGGGCUCAGGUGCUUGCUCUGUGGCUCCUCCAUGUGCUGGGGAAUUCACGCCAGGCUUUGCACUCAGGUUGAAUGUGUGCUGCAGCCCCCACCAUCCAUCGAUGCUCUGAAACAGAGGGCUCAUGUGCCUCCUCAAUUCAGGAUGCUCCUGCCUCUGCCUCUGCCUCCUAAGGGUCUGGCUUCCAGGCCUACGCUCUGAGCAGCCCCUCAAGCCACUCUGAAGUGCACCUCUACAGGCUCCAGGCUCCAUGGAAGAAUCACAUCAGAUAACCACACAAGGCUUUUCUCACCAUGAUUUUUCUGAAAGGCUUCUUUGGAUCUUGAUCAAUACUUCCUCAUGUGUUUUUUUUUGUUUUGUUUUUUUUUUUUUUUUGGUUUUUUGUUUUGGUUUUUUAAAGUCUUCUUUCUGAUUCACCCCCUGCAAGAAUGACAAAGUGACCUCAGUUAGCGCUCACUUAGACAGUCCUCAUUGAUCGCACACUCCUUUCCCUCUAUACCUUAUCCUUAAGAACAUGUCUGUGAAAUUGUGUUUCAUUUCUCUCCUGGCUCUUUCUCCAUAGUCAGAAUUUUUAAAAAUUCUUUGGAUGAUCCACCCCCAUAUUUUAUGGAUGAUAAAACUAAGCUCAGACAAAAUCAAGGCUUGGCCCUUUGAUUAGUGCUUGCAUGCAUGUGCCUGAUGUGUUUAGAAACUGCCUCGUAGGGCUUGCUGAUGAUGUUUCCAUAUGCCAGGGUGAAUGAAGUCAGAAACUGGUCUUGUGGGUACCCAUAAAGUGAGCACCCUCACCCAGGCCCCAUGUGUGCCCGUGUGGCUGGGUAUUCAUAAGCACAGCUGCUUAGUCAUCUCUACUGUCAGCAGUUGGAAAGUCAGCUUUGUCACCUUUAAAUCAGGGGUCAGCAUACUGCAAGUUUACAUUGUGUCUGUCCGUCUAUCCAUCCAUUCUUCUUUGCAGUGUGUAUAGGGAAUCAAACCCACGGCUUUGUGUGCUCAGCAAUUGCUCUACCAGUGCCUUAUAGCCACAGCCCCCAGCCCCAAUACUUUAUUGAGAUAGUAUUUUUAAAAAGAUUUCUUUAUUUAUUAUAUGUAAGUACACAGUAGCUAUCUUUAGAUACUCCAGAAGAGGGCAUUGAUCCCAUUAUAGAUGGUUGUAAGCCACCAUGUGGUUGCUGGGAUUUGAACUCAGGACCUUUGGAAGAGCAGUCGGUGCUCUUACCCGCUGAGUCAUCUCUCCAGCCUGAGAUAUUUUUAAGUUAUUGUUUUGCAGGGUUUUUUAAACUUGUGUUUUAUUGGGGGAGGGACCUGAGUGUACUACACAUCAGGGGUUGGGGGGGGCGAGGACUGCCUGUGGGAGUUGGCUCUGUGUCCACCAUGGUGGUUUUGGGAAUUGAAAUCAGAUUAUCAGGCUUAGUGGCAGGCUCUUUUAUCUGCUGAGCCUUCACACUGGCUCCAGAUUUGCAAACACUUCUAGGUCUGUCAAUCUAACACGUUUUCAACCAGUCCUGGCUAGGGCCUGGAAACGGGCCUCACUGUUUCUCAGGUAGACCUCACUACAAGUGUCAGAGGCCUGGCCUUGGCCAGUGGUUUGCCAUCUCUCUCCUGGACCACAUGGGGACAGUAUCUCAAGGAAACAACUGUCUGUGGAGCAAGGUGGUCCAGUGCCUGUGCUAAUCAUGUGAUUCCUGCAGAACCUUUCUUCUUGGAAAAAGAAAACGAAAGCUCCCCAGUUUUGCCUUUGCAGCCAUGGUUAAAGGUUUCUCAAUCAUCAUUCCUCAAAGCCUGGUUCCCUGCGGUUAUCCCACAGGAUUCUGACUGAUGCUGGGAAAGAAGCACAGGCUUCCCAGAAUGCACCACCAGUCCCUGGUGAGAUGACCUCAACCCUCCUCUCUAGGUCACAGGUCUCCUUGUUUUCAGCUAGAAGGAACCUCUGCUGCACAGUCCUGUGUAGCCAUAGUCUCCACCCACCCUCCAUCACCCUCCACCAUCUCCACACCCUCUCUGUCAUUUUAGAAUUUUUCCAUUCAUGCAGGUACUUCCAGGUAUACAGAGGCAAGGCAGGAGAUCACUAAGCCGAAGUUCUAGGCUAGCCUGGGCAAUAUGGCAAUACUCUUGAAUUGUCAAUGAAAUAGAAAACAUUGUUUUUUUUUUUUGUUUGUUUGUCGACCCAUGCGCACUGAGAAGCUUCAGGGCAGGCAUUCUCUUUGUGCUGUGUGUAAUAUAGAGAUUUGCUAACUACACCAAGCAAUGGUUGGUGGAUCCAUAACAGUGCUCCAUCUGAGGGCCAUUGCGCUAUUUUUUUGUGCAAGGCAAAAAAUUAAAGUUCAAAAAGACAAGUUAAUCUUUUUCCCAUUGUGGAGUCAAAGUGGUUGAGUGGUGAAGACAAGAAAGGAUAGACUCUGGGGUUGAGGGAGAGAAGCUGAGUGUCUCACUGCCUGCGCAUCCCUCUCACAGCACAGCAGCUCUUGAGAAGUCUUCAGGCCACUGCCUGACAUUCUUGGGCAAUAAUAGGAAGCUCUCUCCGUGGUAGAAGGUGAUCCCCGGACAGACAAGGAGAAAAUGAUUUCUCAAGUGUUCCAAAUGCAAACGAUCUGCCACAAGCGUGGCCCAGGAAACUCAUGUCUACCAGCCAAAAUCCUGUGGCUGUGUCUCAGCUGAAGCAAGCCACUCGCCCUGCGAGCCUCUAGUUUCUGGUUCAUUGCAAUGGGUCCCUUUGUCCCUGUGCUUUGAAAUGACUCCAAACACAUAGUUUCUGCCUGCUGUUUUGGUUUGGCUUUUGUGUUUUGUGUGUGUGUGUGUGUGUGUGUGUGUGUGUGUUUGAUUUUGUGGAGGAGUAGACAUUAUGUGUGAGAGCGUGGGAAUGGUCUGCCCAGCUUCUCAGACCACUCCCCAACCCCUCCUGCUGUGUGAGUUACUGACCUUAACUCAUGGACUUCGUACAUAAGAACUCAAGAGAUAAAACCACACUUGGAAGCCUGAGGCUCCAAAAGUGCUACUGCUGUGUCAGCCAUUUCUUCUUGAACUGAAAAGCCUGUAACAGGGUGAUGUCCCAUUGGUCUUGCAUCUUUGAUCCCUCAUUGACCAGUGCUGGCAUUGCCCUUGGAUGUAAAGGGACCUCCUCAUGUGUGGUGAGUAUCUCUUUCAUGGAACAGGAAAGUCUCUCCCUAUGUAAGAGUGGACUUUACCAGCAGUGCCUUGUCUCUGCAGCUGGUAUAACUCAUCUCUAGUGUCUGCUGCCUAUGAGGCGUAUUUGCCUUAUUUGCUCCAUCCUUUGGCACCGUGAGCCUAAGGGAAAGCUCUCAUUAUGUGCGUCUGAGCCUCAGGGCACUGGGCUUGAGCCACCUCCUUGUUGCCACUCUCUUGAGCACCCAGAAAUUAGAUGCUGUUUCUUUUCUCUCCAGUUCCAAACUAAGCCAGAAGGCAGCCUCUGUUGUAGGCACUCUGUGUUUUGGGCCUUUGUGACCUAUGAAAUAACUAAUGAAUUUUCUAAACAACCAAAGCAAACAGAAAUGCCAGGAAGAGGGAAGGUGGAGAGAGAAAAUAAUUGCAUUAUACAUAGGGUCUGUCACAAAAUGCGAUGCAGAAUUCAGGGGGAGAAAACAUUGAGUGUGGAAUAUGGCCUACUUCCCAUGGGUUGUCUGGGCCUCAGUUUCGCCAUCUGUAAAAUGAUGCUCUGAGCAUCUUGUGCCCCUCUGAGAAGUGGAACCUAACAUCUGAUUGGUGAUGAAGCACAGUGGAUGCAGGACUCUGAAUGGUGAGCCCAUUGUGCUGUUCCCUGAAUCACUCACCUCUCCCAGACUGAGUAGUUUUCCUCAAGGCCUCUGUGUCCCAUGGUACCGGGGGGUCUUGAUUUCUUGGGACAUCCUUUCUCAGAACUAGGGACCCAAUGAACAGGAGUUUGAAAGCUCCCAAGCUCUAGUGUCUCCAAGUAUUGGCUUCUGUGCUCAUCUUUCUUUGCUGUAGUAGUUACAAGAAAGCCUGAGUUUGCUUCUGUGGGCACGGUGAGUCAUGAUGGGACAAGUGCUGACCAUGGAAGCUCGGGCCCACUCUCAAGCACAGGAGGCUCUAAGAUGCUUGACAGGAAGGGAAACUGCUAGGACUGUAACUUAUCAAAGGCAUGUUUGCUGUUGGCCUUAGUAUAAUAAUGUUAAUGAGAUUAUUAGGUGGGGGAGAUUUUUGAUAAAUAAUUGAUAAGGAUUAGAAAGUGCCUUUUCUGCAAAUAAACUUCAGAAUAAUUAAUAUUCAUGGACUCUGUUUGUCAACAGAAAAAUGUAAAUGAAGAGCUGGUCCUUUUACCAGACUCAAGACCUGAAGGACAUCCAUGAGACAAGGGUUAAGGAGAGAAAAAGCUAACUUUACAACCCACACCAAGAGCCUGGCCUUAUGUAGAUGCAUACUCCUUUUCAUGCUCUGUACACACACGUCCCAGUCCACCUCUCCCCCUGGAAGAACCUAGGAAAGGAGGUUUGUAAUAGGCACAGGUUGCAGGGUAUGGAGGGCAGUAGGCGGUAAGGGGCAAGGCGAAGUGAUGACGCAAAGGCAGUGUACUGGGAGCCACUUUUAUUUCUUAUUUAUAAUCUCAGUGCGAGCUUGGGUAACGGAUGACACCAGCCCUCUCACUUCAAAGCAGGGAGAAGGCACAGAUGACAGAGCAGAGAGUGAGAAUACAGAGGUACUAACAACAGGAGGAAAAAUGCCUGUUUACGGGAUCACAUUUGUUAGCAGGCGCUCCUCUGAUAUUGCUCCCCCAGGAGGAGCAGGAAAGAUGUGUAGCGGACGGUGAUUUAACAUCUGAAAAUGGUACUUAAAGAGUUUCUGCCUGGUAGGAAUGUGACGAAGGCUUCUGAAUGGGACCUGGGGACUUCGUUUCUUCUAUUUAUCUCUCUGUCUCUCUGGUUUUAGUCAACCGUAAUUGCAUAUUUAACCUCUCUCACUUAGAUUUAACCCCUGAUGUGCCAACUUUCUGCCUGAUAUAAAAUGUACAUUUAUCAGAAACCUUUACCAAAAAAAUUAUUUAGAUAACUUUAAAGCAUCAAUAACAUGGUGUAUGGUUUUGGUUGGACAGAGGGAUGCAUGGAGGGAUGCAGAAGGAAUACAGGUAGACGGGAAAGCUGUCCUUUCUUUCUUUGGCAAAGAAAGGGGAGAAAAAGCAGUUAAGAUACAGACAUGAAGAAGAACAAAGAUGGAAAAAAUAAUAAAACAGCAAACACUACAACCCUGUUCUCACUUCAAAUUCAUCAUGGCCCGAGCUGAGAAAAUUCACUGUAGGUGCCCUGCAUGGGAGCUGGAGGGGGGGGGGGGUCAAGGAGGAAUCUGGGAUGCUCACUGCCAUCCAGUCCUCUCGCUCAGUGGCCUUUCGGAGAGGCCCCUUAACAGCUUAUGUGAAACAAAUAUUAACACAAAUUGUAUAAUUACAUCAAAAUCCCCAAUUCCUCAAUGAUGCAAAAACAGCUUUCAGCUAAGAAUCCACCAGCAAUAAAACAUCUUAUAGUCGAAGCAGCGUACUCCCAGGAAGCCCCAAGAUGGGAUCUGAGCGACUUUCACAGUUUAUUUUCAUGGUAUUUAAAUUAUGAUACCAGUGGGUAUUUUUAAUUAGUGUGCACUUGUCUCCAUAAGCCAUGUUGGCAAAUUUGACUCAUUCAUACAGUAGUUGCGGAAAAGAGGCCAGCACAGCCUGCAGGAAUUAAAAUAAAAAGUUCCUGCAAGCUGUUAUCGACGUGACCAUAUCUCAUUAACUUUCAAAAUGGAGAUUAUUUGCCUGAAAGCUUGAUUUGACUAGCAGUAAUCAAAUAUUAGGCCCGACGGAGUGUGGGGUGGGCUGGCGAGGGGGCCUCGUUGUGAUGUAUAUCACCGAGUGUUCUGCAGUUCACUUUAAAUAGCAGUAUAAGAUCUUUGUUUUGACAAAAGCAAUAGGAAAGAGAAACACAGACAUAUGGCCCCGAAAGUAUUAUUAGGAGAGUUUUAUUUUAGAUGAGGACUCAUUAUUUACUAAGUUUCCUAGAAGACAAAUACAAGUAUGCUGGCUACUGAUUCCUUAUCUCAUUAAGGAUCCAGAAGAAGCCAUGGAGUAGCGUCCCCCACCUCACAUCAAAGUGUAAGCUUUGGAAACAGGGCCUAUCUUGUGACUGGUUACCUUUUUCUUAUUUCAUUGGAUUAAUUGACAUAAGCCUUGAAUUUAUCCAUCGGACGCCUGCCAUUGUUUUUACUAACUAUGAUGAAGGUGGUUGUAAAAUUACACACAAAAGGAGAAGAAGAUAAAGAGUCUCUUACCCCCUCUGUCUUUAAAGGAAGGGAGCAUCUUACUUGAAAUGGGUAUCUGGCCAGUCAUUAAGGAGUCUGAUUGUGAAAACCUGAAGUUCCCGGAGCAGGUUAGACACAGUCUCUUUUCAGAUCUUGUAUAUUCCCACAUGCACAAAGGAACAUUUGUACUGGGUAAGGGUAAACUGUAAGAUGAAGAUGUGUGGAGGUUGGGGGGUGGGGGUGACAGGCAAAGAGAAAGGUUCAGUUAAACAAAAGACAGGAGAUAAAGUCUUUGCCUUUUUAUGUCUUUGAACUGAGAACACGGUCUGCAUUUUACUACAGGAGAACAAGGCUACAGUGUAAGUAACUGGUUUUUGCAUUAGGCUCUCCCUGGAGGUAGCAGAAAAAUAUCAUGUCCCUGCAUGAAAUGUGAAUGUGAAAUCUACCAGAAAGAAAUAUUUAUGACCAUUUCAUGCUUGAUUAGGCUUGGAUGACAUCUGUUAGCAGACAGGAGCUGGACAAAGAGAGAGACGCUCGGGGGCAAAUGUUAACGGAGUUGUUUAGAUGACGCGAGGGUAGAGGCCUCCAUUUACUGCCAGGCAAAACACAGGAACUGUGUUAGCCACAGCACGGCUGACAAGCAUCACUGGAAUGGGGACCCCGGAAGCUAAGUCGAUGAACAGUCCCACAGCUGUCCAUCCUCACCGUGCUGCCUCAGUUUAUAUCAGAAUCCCUUAACAUCUAGGGAGCUGGCAUCUUAGUAAAGUUAAAAGAUGUGACACAGGAUAUACAGAAAUUCUCUCCACCUUCUCCCUGUAAGUUUCAGACCUUGCCCCUAGUUUUCUCAGUGGAAGAGUUCAUUAAGCCACAGGGCUACCCUGGUUCCAUUCUGCCACAAGAGUUCUUAUCGUAGUUUCCUUUAUUAGUAGGAUUCUUAUUUUAACGUGGUUCUAACUUAAGCAUGCAUGGCUUUAAACCAUGUAAAGGUUUGCCCAAAAUGAGAAGAAAAAUUCGUUUUUUAGAACUUAUUACCAGUCAUUAAACGCACUGAGGCUGGUACUGCUGUCUCAGCCGUGGCUCCCCAGAGUGGAGGGAUGAAGACUAGUUUCUUUCUGGUUCCUUUCCCAGCCUCUUUUCCUGUAACUUCUCUGUCUGGAAUGCUGAUGGGAAAUGUUAUUUUGUUUUUGUUUGCAGCAGGUCUGUUGUUUUGAUUUUGUCUGAGUGGUAUGGAAAACAGUACGUCACUUAGAGUGGGUGUUUGUGUACCGGCCAUUUGGCCGUUGCACAUAUAUUUCUCAUGCUUAUUACAUGAUGACAAGGGAACCAAAGAGACACAAGUUUCCAGCCGAUUUUUUUUUCUUUCCAGUUUAAUAAUAGUGAGAAAAAAAAGAAAAGAAAAGAAAAACAAAGUCAAUAGAUUUAGCAGUUUGAUGGCGCACAGUGCUGCAGCUGGCUUGGUUUCCUUAACGUUUUCAUUCCUUGUGGCGAGGAAGGUAUGGAGGUGAAGGUCAAGUGAAUGCGCACAUCAGUUUCUGUAACAAGCUGCAUGUGGAUAGCAUUUCACAUUUUGCAUAGAGUUGUGAAAUGCUGUAAUUUAAGAAGGGAAAUGCAUAAAAGGAUAAUAAACACACUUAACAUCAUUCCAGUGAUUAGUUUGAGGUACUUCCCCUCCACCCUGGUUUUUGGGCCACAUGUAGAAAAGACUUUACCAAUACAUGUAUCUUAAUUACAACGAUUCGAGAUGAAAUUCGGAUGGAAAGCCAGAACACAAAUCUCCGAGAAUAACCUCUAGCCAUUCCCUGGUUCUUUGUGGCCAUGCAAGCCUUCUCAGUAGGUAGGUGCAUCUCACAAGAGUGUAGAAGUUAGCGCUCUAAGUAAGUAAUUCUUGGUGUAAUACAAAAAUAUAAAAUGGAAACGAUGAUUAAUUUUUCAAUUUCUCUAUGCAGAUAUCUAAUCAUUGUAUCCAUGGACCGCCAAAGGCACCCAUUAAAGAUUUAAAAAUGCAAGAGGAAGGUAGAAUUCAAAAGAUGAGAUUUGGGAUUAAAUAAUGUAAAAUUACUGCAGGGCGAUAGUGACGCUCGUCCCUCAGUGAGAGAUUUUCUCAGACCCCUUGAAGAGCCACUUAAAGUAUUGAUAUGACUUACACACUUUGUCCUAGCACUGCUGUUAACCAAAUUAUGUAUUAGUGAUAAAAUUAUGCUCAAUUUUUUUUUUUUGUCUUUCGUGUCAUGUGUGCUUUCUAAUGCUUUAAAUAGUGGCCUCCUGGUAAGAAGGGUGUCUUGUCACACCCAUAUAUGCUGCAUCUUCCUGGAGGCUUUCCAUUUUAGCUGGGAAAACGCAGUGUUCAAGGGUUGCCUGUGUGUGUACACUGUGAUUUUCUUCAAAUCAGGGGAACUUUUAUAAUCCUAGAAGAAGGAGACCUCUCCGCCUCGGUAUAUAAAAGCUGUCAGGAAGGUCCAGCCGGGCUUCUCCGAGCUCCGCCGUGCUCUUUAUCACUUUGCUCAGCCCCACAUAAUAACAUCUUCAUCUGAGAUUGCCGUGGCACAGGGGAGCCGCAUUUGUUGAUCAAAUUUGGCUGGCUAACACUGUGAUCUCCUAUCCUGAAGUGCAGAGAUGUGCCUGGAAUAUGUAAGUGCAAAGCCAGCCUCCUGAUUGAUUGAUUCUGCCUGUCACAGAACAAGAUAACCGGAUCAGUAAAUACCCUGUGCACUCACCAUCGUCCCCACAAUCAAAAGUGAGGGCAUCACGGGGCUGGAAAACACUGGGGCAUGAUGGGAUGCACACAUUUCCAAAGGAUAGGCAGGAACACAUCCACAGACACACACGUCCACACAAGCACAAAGAAAGGGAGCGCUUUGUGUGUGGCUUCUUGCAAGGGAGCCAUGUUUAAAAAAAAAGAAGAAGAAGAAGAAGAAAAAGAAAAAAAGAAAAGAAGGAAAAAAGGAAGGAAGGAAGGAAGGAAGGAAGGAAGGAAGGAAGGAAAGGAUUUUCUAUGUGAUUAGAAUGCUUCCUGGUUGUAAACCUGGAGUUUAUUUUGCAACUGUCAUCUUGGAGGUGUUGGACAUUUGUCAUAAAAAAAAGUUGUUAUUUGAGUGCUGUUUACAGAGGAGAUUGAGAGAAAGAUUAGAGGGCUAGAGCCUGUAAGAGGUCAGCAAUGGUCUCCAGCACAAAGGGAGCCUUUUCCCAAGACUUGCUACCUGUUAAAAUAAACUUUCUGUUGAAACAGAUGGGCCAAACACAUGUAAACAAAUUGUUUAAACUUUUACUAAAUUCCCAAGGAGUUCUUUUCAAAAGUAGCACAAGGUGGCCAGAUCUGGUGUUUAAUUAAACAGAGUUCAAAAAGAGUUGAAAGAACUGAACCGGUGUGAAAGCUGGGGAGAUGGAUGCUGCUGACAGGUCGCCUGGGGUCACACAGUCAUGGCGCCAGGAUGGUCUCCCUAAUGGCUCUUGUCACCAUCUUGCUUAAGUCGACACUUUUCUGUUUGCCUCUUUCCUCCCAUAAGAUUUUUAAGUUCCUAGGAGACAGGGUAUCAUGUGUUCUUGUCCCUGUGUCCCCAUUUUCCCGGAAGAUGACACGGUAUGUGGUACCCAAGAUAUAGCGACUGAGUGAGGGUGGGCCCGGGUGUUGGGCUUUCUUCAGUUCAUCUGGAGUUCUUCAUCCCCUGAGUUGUAACUGGGCUCUGGAAUUUGAAUUGCAUCCUUAGCUCCUUUGGAGAAAUGUAGUCAUUUUCCUCGUGUCAGGCGGCUGCUUGAGCCCCUUCCAGUCUUCUUGUCUCAUGCCGUGGGAGAUGGAGGUCAGAUUCUAAGACGUGCUGCUUGUUGGACUACCAGCCACACAGUGAGAUGAAGUGCUGCCGCCUCUUCUGCCACAUUGGCCUCUGACAAGCAGAGCCUCGUUCCUUGACUGUGGUUUUUGCACAGAUUUGUAAGUGGGCCCUCGCAUGCCCACGGACCUGUUUCCGUGAAUGCCUCUGGGCUGGGUGAUGUCUAGACUAUUUCAGCAGAGGCAUUUCUUACUUUUCUCCUUCUGUUUUAUUUGGCUCAAAUCAGUGCCUCCCCAUUUCAGAUUCUAUAGUUUGGCCCACAUGGGCUAUCCCCAUGGCACAUUUAAGGAAGGUAAGGUUUAGGAGUAACCAAGAAGUCCAAAAAAAAAGUGUCUGUGUAGCGAGUCUCUCCUGUGGAAGGUGUGUAUGACCCAAGGACUACAACCGAGAGUCUCACACGUUGAAACCAGCACUCGUACUUCAGAAAGAAUUAUUACCAUGUGUGAGAUGUCUGGUUAGUUCUUUGCGACUUAGUUAUUUUUUAUUUGAAAUGGUUAAAAAUGCCUUUUGGCAGAAUUGGCCUCCUUUCUUAAUUUUCUGAACAUAAAGCUUAAAUGAGUUUAAUGUUCUUGAUUUAAAAAAAAAAAAAAAAAAGGAAGUGAGGUACUGAUGGUCUCAGAGAAGCUGGUCUGAGAAACAGGUUUUGAUUUUUUUCAUUUUUUUCCCCCCAAAAGCCAAGAGUGCAGCAUUCCCUGUUCAUUUGGCACAAACUCCUCCUAGUAACGUUUUAUAAAAUCAUUUUCUUCUCAGGGUGUGUUUUAUUUCCUUCCCUUCCCUUUCAGGAAAGAGAACGUGUUUUAUUGGAUAUUUUUGUUCCAGUCCUCGUUUCCAUUAUUUUUGCCAAAAUUCAUGGGUGUUCACUCUCUAUUUGCAUGCCUGUAAUAGUCCUUGAAGGAUUUGCAUUUGGGGACAGCUAGGGCAAGGCUAUGCAAAUCGAUUUAGUGGUCUUAGUAACUGCUAUCCUUUUAUUUACUAAGAAUUUUAGAGACAAACAAUUAAAUGAGGGAGGGCCCCUUUGAGUCUAAAGUUCAGAGGAAAUUCCUUUGCUCCUGCUUGUAUGAUGUUGUCCCUUAGUUUCCAAGGGAAGGGACAAAGUUUCAGCCUUAAUUCAUUAGGAGAAGGAAAUGGUGAAUAGAUUUGUUUUGGGAAGACAAAAACAAGUCCCUAAGAUGGUGCACCCCUCUGCAUGUGAAGCAGCCUUGGCUGUGAGUUGGCUCUGUAUAGACUUUUUUCUUGUGAGUUCACAUUGGGUGUUUUAUCUUCUGACACUGUCGUCUGAUCCAAGUCAGGUGUAUUUUCUGCUGUGGAGUGAAUGAUGCCUUCAUCCCUUUAAAUCGAGGCAUCUAGGUUCCUAAGCAGCAUCUUGGUGUAUGUAUGGUCCUUCCAUGGAAAAUCAGCCAUCGAACCAAGCCAGUCUAACUGUGCCUGGUUUCUAAAUCAGACCUAAAGGAUUUCUAUAUUUGGGUUUGAGCUGAUGAUGCAGGUUUAUCUGGGGGGAAUUCUUAUAGACAGAUCCAGGCCAGGCCUGGCCGUCACUGGGCUCUUGAUCUUCCCAUGGCCACUGGGGAGAAGACACAGCCCCUCCUUGGGACUGUGGGCUGCUGCUGGACUCUUGUGUUCUCUCGGGUGAGAAUUUGAAAAGGUGCUUCUGAGUAAGAGUCCCUUCUGAGUAAGAGUCCCUUCUGAGUAAGAGUCCCUUCUGAGUAAGAGUCCCUUCUGAAUAAGAGUCCCUGGGGCCCCUUCGGCCUCUGCUGCUUCAGACCUGAGCAUUGGUUUUUGUUGCUGCUGCUGCUGCUGCUGCUGCUGUUCUUGUUUUCUUUGUUGUCUGGUCUCUGUUGCCAGACUGACAUAUUUUGCGUGUUACUUGGAAUUUUACAUAUCUGAAUGAUGAGCUAAACAGAAAGCAAAGGUUUGCUGCCAUUUCCCAGCGCUGUAUGAAAUCUGAGAAAGCAAAAUAAGUUUCGGCGUGGGCACCCUCUGGUUGGCCACCUCCCAUUCAUAAAUGGCCUGACUCCCUGAUGAUGCUGGGAAGCGGGCCCCGAACCGUUGACCAACCAGAGAGUUAAUCACAAAUUUUCAUUGCUGGAGGAAGGCUCUUACAGACCAUAGCCUGUUUGUCCUGUGUUUCAGCCACCUGAGUCAUAGACCAUGAUCAGGGAUAGUCUGCUCCAGAUGUCUGAAACAUAUGCCGAGGGGUAAGUGGCUAGGAGUCACAGCCAUGAAGCCCCACUUCCUAGGCUCUCAAAAAGGAACUGAACUCUUAAGAAGUUUUCCGUGGAUUUCUUCAUCAUUUCUUCAAGCGUUUGACCUCUAUUUGGCCUACUCAUUGUUGCCUCCUCCUCAGUGUUUCAUUGAAGGAGCUGUUUAAGACAUCACCUGGGCAUGCCUAGGGAACAUCUGUUUAGUACCUUCAUCUUCCUCUAAGUUAAAAAAUACUUCUUUUGGAUUUCAGUUUGUGUGAAGGGUUACAAACUUGGUUUUACCAACUUCCCUCUCUUCUGUUGAUAUGUGCCCUAGCACAUGGACACAAGGGGGAUGCUCCAAAGAACAAGGCCACGUGGAACAGGAGUGACCUCUGUCACUAGGAAGUGUUUAUGAAAUGUUAAAAAAAAAAUAAAAUGGGAGGGAUUUUGCCUGAAGUGGAAGUAGCUUGUGUGUGAAACAUCAGUUGACAAUGUCUCAUCUCUGACUCCAUCCGGGACUCUAAUUAAAUAAUAGCAGAAUGUGGAUUAAAGGGCAUUACAUUCCAGUGGAGGCUUUGGGGGCACUUUACCCUCUACUGAAGAGUCUAAUGGGUAAGUCUGAAGCGGCUUGUUUCCUAAGCUCUCUAAUAGACUGGAAUUCUCCCCUCUCUCAUCCCUUAUUCCUUAUAGCUUGAUGGCCUUAAGGAAAAAAAAAAACUAAGAGUUGACAGAGACUCAAAAAGAAAAUAAAUUUACAUGAAGCAAGUAUGAUUGCGGUGCAUGAUGUGAAAUUUCCAAAUAAUUAAUAAAAAUAUUAUGUUGGGAAAAUAUAGAUGCAUGGAUGGAUCAGUGAUCAAUGACCUGCUGUCCGAAGCAUGUUGCUCUCUCUUUCACUCUGGCUGAGUAUGCCCUCAUGGUUCUAGCUGUGGCACCUUUCUUGGCUCACAUGCAGACCGCACCACCCCAGCCAGCAUGCCAGCAUGCUGCUUCUCCUGGAUAGCGUCACCUUAUGUGGAUUCGCUUGUAAUGUCACUGGCAGUGAAUUCCAGCAAAGGCAGACCUUGUUUCUCCCCUGACCUGUUGUGUCUCUCCCUAAGUGCCUUCUACAGAGCAGGAACUCAGUAUUUACCUGACACAGGCAGACAUUUCCUAAUCUUACACUGUUCUAACACCAGCCACCUUAAUGUGCCUGGCUCCCUCUCACCUGAACCAGACCUUCUGAAAGGACCCUAUUGAUAGCUCCAUUCCAGAAGGGACAUGAGAGACAAAGGCUGUGAGAAGCCACGGUUAAUCGGAAUUCCAGACUAGUAUUUAGUUGCAUUUGUCCUGGUGUUUUGGCCCCGUUUCAGAUAGCUAAGCAUCUCUCAUACCCUGUAAUUUAGUAUAUUGUUUCAGCUUUCCAAAUAAUGGCUUGCUAAUGGUAAAUGUUGUUUAACUUUCUGAUUCCGAGUAGCUACCUGUUCAGCAGAAUUUUAAAAUUGCGAGUGAUGAUUGAAGACAGGUUAAAAAGCACUUAGGGAGCUUUUGGCUGUAUGUUUGGCGUCGGCUUGAAUCGGCCAUGACCGUCAUUAUUCUUUUUGAAUCUGAACGUACACCAUGGAAGAGGCUUUACUUGAUUGGUCCAAAAAUUGAAACUCAUCUUUACCAAGGCAGUUCUUUCUUUUUAAAUAAACAGGGUAUCUUAGUCAGGGUUUCUAUUCCUGCACAAACAUCAUGACCAAGAAGCAAGUUGGGGAGGAUAGGGUUUAUUCGGCUUACACUUCCACACUGCUGUUCAUCACCAAAGGAAGUCAGGACUGGAACUCAAACAGGUCAGGGAGCAGGAGCUGAUGCAGAGGCCAUGGAGGGAUGUUCUUUACUGGCUUGCUUCCCCUGGCUUGCUCAGCCUGCUCUCUUAUAGAACCCAAGACUACCAGCCCAGAGAUGGUCCCACCCACAAGGGGCCUUUCCCCCUUGAUCACUAAUUGAGAAAAUGCCUUACAGUUGGAUCUCAUGGAGGCAUUUCCUCAACUGAAGCUCCUUUCUCUGUGAUAAUUCCAGCUGUGUCGAGUUGACACAAAACCAGCCAGUGCACAGGGUCUCCUUUGACUUAUUCUGACUUAGUAGCUGCCUCAGUUUCUCUGGUUGUUCUCUAAGGCUAAGGGCUCUCCUGUCUUUACAGUCUGCUUGUGCACAUUGGUGUUCCGUGGGCAUGUUUUUAGUGUGUCAAUUUUCACCUUUCACCUGGUUUGAGGCAGGGUCUUCUCUGGUUUGAGGCUGCAUAAUGAACCAAGUAGCAGACUUGUAAGUUUCCAGGCCAUUUUCUGCCUGUCCUUGCCCCAGAAGCACUUGGAUUGUGGACUAGGAUUCGGUCUUCAUAUGGGGACUGGGGAUUCACCAGCAAGCACUUUACCUACUGAACCAUCUACCCAGCCCCUUUAUAACCUAUUCUUGAGUACCCUCUAACAUUCCUUAAGCCCAGUGACCCUCCUCUUCAGGCUUCCAUAUGGCCAUAGAUUCAAUGGCCUCUCCCCCCCCUCCCCAUCUCCCCAACCCCACUACCUCCAUAGAGUAGAAUUAAAGCAAUAAUGACCCGAGUUGAGUCAGGCUAUAAUCAGUCUCCAUUGCCUGUGUGUAGGGAAAGUUUGGUCACUGAUGGACGACCACUGAUGGCAACAGACACCUAAGAUCACUACGCCAGGAUACACGCAAGUGUACUUGAAGCUUGUGAGUCUGUCUGAGUGCCCUGCAUGGCAUCUGCACAGCCCACUACCUAGCACAUUUCUCAGACUGUAUCUCUGUGACCAAGGCAUGCCUGACCUCAGUUGAAUGGCAAUGUUCUCCAUGUAGAUCAGUCUCCAUAGCUGUGAAGUUUUCAGGCCGAUUCCUCGAGUCUCUUUCUAGUAUCCGUAUGAGAGCUGUCCAGUGGAGGUCUGCGCUGGGGAGGAAUGGGUCCUCUGUGACUGGGAGCCAACCAGCACUCAAAAUGUAGCAAGGACAAGGAGUUAAUCAGGGUAGGUGGGUUUCAGAAUUAAGUAUAAAUACAUUUUUUACUUAAUGCCAAUUGAAUUGUUUUGCUCGAUUUUGUUUCUGAAGUUAUGUGUAUGAUUUUUUUAAAUUUAAUUUUGGGAAUGGAUAGGGUUAUAUUUGCUCUUUCUCCUCCCUCCCUCCCUCCCUCCCUCCCUCCCUCCCUCCCUCCCUCCCUUCCUUCCUUCUCUCUUUUGCUAUAUAGCCCAGGCUGGCCUUGAAUUCAUCAUUCACCUGCCUCAGCUUUUCAAGUAUUUGGGGUGUAUAUUACCCUUGUGCCUCAUUCUCACGAGCUCACUGAGACAUCUGGGCACUGCAGAGCAAGAUCAGAGUGGGGCAUUUGCCUUGGCCUUGUGAGGUCCUUGUGAGUUUGAGCCCCAGAAUUUAUCCAAAAGCCAACCAGCAAACAAAAUCAAAAACAAGAUAUGGCAAUGUUGCCUUGUGGUCGCAGCAUAAAGGGGGCAGGGAUGGAUGGAUCCCUGGCACUCAGGAGAGUCAGUAUAGUUCAGUGCCAAAUCCCAGGACAAUGAGAGACCCUGUCUCAAAGGGGGAAAAAUGAGGAAAACCACCUGUAUUAGUUGCUUUUUAUCGCUGUGAUAAAGCAUCCAUGCGAAGGCCACUUAAUCUAAGGAAGGGUUUAUUUGGGACAAGUGGCUCCAGUGUGUAAGUCCAUCACGGCAGGGAAUUUUGACAGCAGGUGGCAGACAUGACGGCUGUUCCAGCUGAGUGCUCCGAGUGCUCGAAUCUCAAACCACAAACAGGAAACAGAGGGGACACACUCAGAAUGUGUACCUCAAAGCCAGUGCCUAAUGACAUACUUCCUCCAGCAAGGCCAGACCCCUCAUCCUCCACAAACAUCCACCAACCCAAGUAUUCUGAUGCCUGAGAAUAUGGGGGCAUCUCAUUCAGACCAUCCAGAUGUCCCAGAUUGUGCUGGGGCGCGUGUGCCUAUAUGCCCCUGUCACGUAUGCACCCACAUACAUACAUGCACACAAAUGUACUCUUCAGAACACAGAUUCAAAUGAACCUGUUGCUGCAGGCUUCCCAUAUUCUAACUGUCCCUGUUGUAUUUUCAAUCAUACUUAGCAUUUUGUAUUUUUCCUUACACCUGGAGCCAGAGAGAUAGCCACUUUCCUCCGGGAGUGCAAAUCCUCCGCUGUGUUUGAUCAUAGGCAGAGAUCGUCAGCCAGCUUUGGAGUUGCUUUUUCUGAGAAAAGCUCCAAUAGGCCCAGCUUGAGGAAAAUAACACAGACACACACACACACACACACACACACACACACACACACACACACACACACGCACACACACGCCAGUGUCAAUUGAAAACCAGCCGGGUGGCAAGCACUGCUCCGCGUAGUGGGAAUAGUGCCGCCUUCGGCCCUUUGGGUGAUUGGGGACAGUGUAGAGAUAUUGUGAAAUUACCUUUUUUAUUGGUUCUUGAGCCUUCCGCAGUAAAUGCCUCUUCUUGAAGGAAGCGAAGAGAAUCCGUGUGUGCCGCGUGAACUUGGGACGCGUGUGUGACAGUUCUCUUCAGCCUGUAAUUUAGCAGAGUUGGAGCUUGAGUGUUUCUUGCAUUGGGCUAAUUUCCCUUGUGAGCAUCAUUAUGUUAAUCAGGCUGCCUUCCCUCUCGUGUGUUUACUGUGAUUUUUACUGUAUCAGUGGAAGAGUCUUAUCUGUUUUAUUGCAUUUUGAAAUCAACAUCUUUGGGAAAGCCGCCCUGUGGGUCUUGCUAGAUCGUUGAUUUUUGUUUUCUGCCCCCUGCCAGGUCAGAAAUGGCAUAUUGGUAAGCCUUACUGUAGUUUAAGAACCCACAGUUGAAAUACCAUAAAAAAAGUGCUAGCUGCUGAAGGCCAGCUUGUCUCUUCCCUACCUCACCUUCUCCAGUCAGGGUUGUUUGUCAUCAAAGAAAAUGGGUCCUUUGUGCAAAAUCCUCUGUGGGAAAAGUCACUGUGGACCUUCUCCAUGAAGGCCUGCAGGUCACUGUGGACCUUCUCCAUGAAGGCCUGCAGGUCACUGUGGACCUUCUCCAUGAAGGCCUGCAGGUCCAGAACCACUUCCUCUGUCCCUGGACUCACUUGGUACUUGCUAGCUUCUACUGCCAUUUAUGACAGUUUCCUCUGGCCUUGCCUGGUUAGAGAAAAUCACUGUUGGCAUCCCUUGUAUGAGCCAUCAUACACUUAGCGACAGCUGUUAAGUGGCUUCUGUCUUCUCUGUCAGACUAGUCCACCAUAACCCUUUAACCUUUCCUUAAAGGUGCCAUUUUCCACCCCCUUCAUUAUUUUUGCUUGCUUUUCUUUGGAUUUCCCCAAACCUUUCUGAAAACACAGUAAGAGAAGGGUGUUCCCUCAUCCACUCCCGAAGUUCUGCAGGUCAGAGGCCCCCAGUUGUAUCUUCCUGCCCAGUAUCCUUUUUUCCGGCUCACCUUCCCAGCCCUGAAACGUGUGGGGUUGUACACAUCACUCACACUGGGUUUAGCCUGUGGUCUGUGGGCUAAAGGAGAGAUUUAAAAGUGAACAGCACCAUUUCUUUCUAUCUGUGUCUGCUGGUGGUUUAGUUUGGGGUGUUUUUUGCUGUGCUGUUUUAAUGGAGAAUCUCUGUCCAUUUCCUGUCUCUUACGUGAAAUGUUUGGGCUGAGGGAGCAUGAGAGGGCAGCGGCAAGCAUACACACUCGUGAUUCCUGCCCAACCUGUCCUCCGUGUCUCUGUCACUCAGAGUUGGUUCAGAAGGCUAUGUCCUGAUCAUGUCCUUUCUGGACGGCUCACCCUCAUCUUCAAGUUAUCAGCCUAAUGAUCAUCUCAGGCUCUCCACUUACCAUUCUCAUGUUUUAAAUGUUUACUUUAUUUUAUUUUCAUGUAUCUCUGUGUGUAUGUGGUUCUGUGUAUAUAUCUGUGUGUCUGUGUUUGUGUGUGUGUGCAUACAUGCACUCUGAGCACAUAUCUGUAUGUAGCACCCGCUCAGAGGAGACUAUGGAGGCCGGAAGAGGUGUUGAAUCCCCUGAGCGUGGAAUUACCAAGAGUUACUGUGAGUGCUGGAACUAAACUGGAAAGGUAGUGAGUACCUUAACCACUGAGCCAUCUCUCCAGCCCCUCUAUCCACAGGAUUCUUAGCCUCUCACUCCAGAACAGGGGCUUCCUGAGGCCUCCCAACAUCACCAGUUCAUUACCCAGAUUGUGCUGGGAUGAAGAAAGACUUCAUGCUGCAGGUGGGGAUGAAGGAUAGCUGGGCCUUGGAAGGUUGGUGUUCUUGACUUAGGUGUGCCUCCGAUUCACUGAAUGACCUGGGGCAGAACCCUCGGGGUCACUGGCAUAAAGUCUAUUGAGCAAAGGAGUUCAGCACCAACUUCUGAAUGUCUCACAGUGAAAAAGUGGAUCAGUGGAGAGUGGUCCCUGGAGUCUGACCAGGGCAGAGAGAGGGACCACAGAAAGGAAGCAGGCUAGGGCUCCCACAGCACAGAGUGAAGUUACUAUCUAUUGCACUGUGACUAAGAGUAUGAGGUGUCCCAAUGCCCAUGACACAGUGUGUAUGUCUCACACUGAGCCCCAUAAAUAAAUAUAAAUGUCCUGUCUCCAUUAAAACAUGUAAUGGUUUAUAAACUGAAAUUCUUCCCUUUCUCAACUCUUGUCAGAUUGAGCAACUUGGCUGGAUUCUGCUGUCCCUGGGGUGCAGGUGUGUAGGGAGUAUUUAUUCCUGUUUGCAUCUUCCGAGUUACCUGUUUAAGGGGUAAACUCAUGCCUACCUCUCUUCCCAGGGUUUGAUAGUAUUCUUGUCCCAGAUACACAGUACCACUUCCGUGAGGCUGUUCAGGAGGCAAUGACUUAGGAUUUUGGAGUCCUUUGUUUCUGGAUUCUGUCCUCCCCAUUCCUGACCCCUCUUCAGUGGUACCAGCAGUGUUGCGACUCUCCAAAAAUGUGUGUCCUAUUCCUUUGCUUGAUUGUUCUGUCACCUUUCUGCUGAGGGUCCAGAGACAGAGCUACACGGCAACCUGAAGCCACAUGGUAGACUUGACUUAAAGAAGGCUGGAGGUAUAAAGCUUACUCUAGACUUUUCCUCCACCAUCUGGAGCCAGUCAGUCUUUCUUGACACCAGAUUAAAAACUGGUCUGUCUCAUCAUCCCACCACAGGGCUAUACCCUCUACCCAUUUCUGCCUCCCAUGUGACGCUUGCUGUGACAUCCAGAGAGGGUGCAUGUGCAAGUGUGCCUAGAGCAUCCAGAGCAAAGGCUCAGAGUGCUAUACUCCGAGAAAGCAAAGCGAAUCUUUGUAGCUGAGCAGGGGAUGCUAGAUUGCAGCAGAGUAGAAGAGGCAGUGGCUUGUUGCCCUCUCUAAAUCAAAGGUCUAUUGGGUGGACGUUCAGAGUACAGGCAGCACAAGCGAUUCCUCUUGAUGCUGUUCAGCCUGAGUGACUACUGCAGUGCUGUAUUCACAGUAUACUGUCCAGCAUGUAAACCUAGACCCUGUGUGGACAGUGAGCCUGGCCUGAGAUGCACUACAAAGGAAAAAUGCUGGGCUUUUUCUGUCUUCUCGCCUCAAUGCUGGGGAUGGACCUCUGGGCCUCAGUGUUCUGAGCAUGUACUUCACCACUGAGCUGAACCCCCAGGCCCAAUGCACUGGGUUUUAAACACCUAGUAAAGUUAGUUGUAUUUUAAGAAACCAUUUUAUUAGCACUCAGAUGCUGGCUGGCUAUGCAUCAGAGUGAUAGCACUUUAGACAUACCAUCUUCUGUAGGUAUGGGUUAGAUGAAAUACCUUCAGCCUUCAUUUUAACUAUUUCGUUUUACUAUUUUGAACAUACUUUUUAAGAAAUUUUCACCCUUGUACCUAGCUCAUGCUGAAUUUUUCAACAGCGGUGAAUACUCAAGGCUGUGAGGUUUGCCUCACUUGAACCUGAGGACGGCUUGGCUCUGUGGAGUUUCUACCCUUCCUUUGUUUUGCAGCUAGAUUUGCUGUUAGACCAUGAUAACCACACAGACCUUACACCAAGGCACCUCUGAGUUUUGGGACUAGCUUUUUACUUGUGGUCUUCGCUGUAAGUCUAGACCCACCUGAUUGUGAGUUUUCUCACCUGUGGACACCACGUCUGUCUUCCAAACCUCACUGUGGGCAGGGGUAGGGACAACCUUCUAGUUUUCUAUCUACAUUUUAAAACAUUUUUGUUGUGAUGAUUGAAGAAUUGUGCUUUUACCCCAAUUAGCAAAGGAAAUAUUUCUGUUUUGAAAUUUUAUUGCAAAUGUAAAACAGAAACCCACCCCUUGGCUCCUAUUGCAGUAGGCUUGCCAGCUAGCAAUAAUGAAACCAUGGUCACCAACAUUCCAGGAGAGCACCCUGCCAGGCUGUUUGCUUUCCAGGAAUUACCUCAGUUGAUCUUGACUAACAACUACAGAAGCAGUGACUUACCACCUUCAUUUCAUAGCUACAGCAACUGAGAGCCAGACAGGUGAGGUGACUUUCCCACAGUCAUGAACCAAGGAGGCAUUGAGUAUGUCUCAAGAUGCUCAGAAUAGUCAUAGUGUCCUGUUCUUCACAGUGUCAUCCACCUAUGACAAAAUGACAAGACAAAAGGAUGAAGAGAGAACAGAUAUUUGUAGGAUGUGUGCUUCUGAUGGACUCUGGUUUAUGAUGUUUAUUGUUUGUGUCUACAGUGUGUUCUCUUAGAAUGUCUCCCUCUUUUUCGCACUCUGUCAAUGUGUAGAAAUGGAUGUUGGCUUUGCCUUUGAGCCCAGGCCUUGGUUGGUCUAUUAGGGUUAGUUCCAACAAAGAAAAAUGAGGUGUUAGUGGUUGAUUAUGCAGCCUGGUGAGCACAGGGUAGUAAUUGUUAAAACACACACACACACACACAGACACACACACAAGAGGUGAUGGGUGUGCCAAUUGACUUGGUAUCAUCUUUAUAUAUGUAUAUACAUGUACGCAACCUUCCAAAUGUAUAUACAGUUUUUGUAUGGUAAUUUAAAAAAAAUGUAAAGGGGAAAUAGAAAUUCCCAGGUAAACUUCUAUAGCAUUAACAUGGGUUACACAAUAUCUAAACAACAGUAAACCUUUUGUUCUCUGUGGCCUUGUCUUAGGUGUAUACAGUCAGUACAACCCUUAGCACUCUGUGUCCCCAUUGUGUAUAGUGAGGCCUCAAUAAAUGUUAUUUAUUAAUGUUUAUUGCUGUACUUCUGAAAUCAUGCCUUUGGCAGGGAAAAAAGCACACUGUGUUUAAGGCUGUCAAUCAAACCAUUCGAUGGGACGGCCAGUGUUGUGAUGUGGACAUGUUAACUCAUCACACGCAAUUGUUGCUUAGAGUAAGCUUCUUAGAAUAAGAUCUAACCUUUGAUUAGAGAAAGGCUUUGAGUGGAUUAAUUUCUGUUGGGCUGGAAUCUCCCACUUUGCCUGAUGUACCCGCCACACCUGUACCCUCGCAGAUCCAGUGGGCUUGUUCACUGAUGCCUAUCUUCCUUUGCUGUUCCAUGUUUAACCAAGAGGAUUAGAAGGCAUUGAUGUAGUAUUUUCUUUUCAAGUUAGGCCCUAAUACCUCAGUGGGGUGGGGAUCCAUGGGUGGUGGUGGCAGGAGUCUGUGGUCAAAGUUCAAAGCUGUUGUGUCAUUUAGAAAAUUUAAAUGUGCUUGUGCACUGAGUUCUGGUCUGAAGCCAUAAGGAAUGAGCUUUGUCGGGCCUAGAAAUGUCCUUGCAGAGUGCUUACUUCACCAGAGAAGGAAGGGCCAGCGUGAUGAGAGCCAAAAGACUCUAUUGCAACAGGGCUGUUCACUUCCAUUCACUGUGUCUGGCCUGUCAUGCAUUCUCUGGUCUGAGGUCUGCUCUAGAGAGCUGAGUAGGUAAAGAAUUGCAAGUGUUGAGAGUCACAGCCAGAUUUGCCUCUGUGCCUUUAGCUGGUGGCUCCACAGAAAACAGGACAUGUUUAUCUCAAGAGUGACAAUAACUGUAAACACCCAGUCACAAAGUUCAGCCUUUGAGACUGCAUGUUUAAAUGGGGCAGAAGGGGGAUAUGGACGCUAGGGCUGUAGGAGCUCAUGACGAGGAGUACCCACCAUGGGCCUGGGUGGAGAAAGGGUCAUGGAAUUUACAGAGGGACAGUAGAGUUGUUAGGCAAAGAGUUCAUCCACACAUCAGGAAGAAAGUACAGAGCUUUGCCACAUUCUCAUUUGAUUGUUGCAAGUAGGUAAAUAAGGUCCAUUUAGUAGGAAGAUGGGUACCUUCCACUGCCCAUGAGGUGAGCAUUCCCCUUAUUGCUAGCUUAGCAGAAAGGCAAUAGCAUCUCUGAGAGCUGUUACUUCUUCAGACCAGCAUGUCCCAGAGCUGGGCAUUGAGGUGUUUCUCCCUAUCCCAACCAUUGUGGUUUCUCAUCCUACACUAGGCUCCCCUCUGGGUCUCUCAGGCCUUGCUCAGCUCCCCUCUUACAGGGUUCAGUCAUACACAGUGCAUAGAUUCUCACACAUACGUGCACGGAUCCUCAUUUGCCACAGCUGAGAAACAUGCAACACAUAGUUCAGUCACUGUUUCUGGAGUCUAGUCUUGGAUGGCUUCAGUGAGUUUUGACUCAGGGACUUGUGAGUCUGUAACUUGAAUGCAGGUGUCAAUGCUGACAUCUUUACCAAGCAUUUUUGGGGGUGACUUUAGUCCAGUGAACUUAAAAGACUGAGAAAGAACCCAUCAAGACUGCUGUUUCCAGCCAUGCUCCCCUGUCCCAACAUGGCUGUUUGUGUCAUCGGGGCCACACAGGAACGUCUAUGUCCUCAAAAGAGCCUCCACCCCCUUUAAAAAACAAAAACAAAAACAAACCGAACAAACAAACAAACAAAAAACCCAAAUCUUAACUAAUUAGGCCAGACCCACCAAGCAAUAUCUCUGGUUUUCUCUGGUUGUGGACUAUAAACAAUACUUGCAAAUUUUCUUUCUGCCAUUCCACAUAGCACAAUCAGUGGAGUGCUGUCCCGUUCUGUUAAGUUUCCUGCGUAGUCACUGGCAUUGCGUCUGCCAUAGUUGCCAUUACUAAUGGAUUUCUUUUCAGCUUCCCGGAGGAAAGACAGCAGAAUUUGGAGCUGGGCAGGUCUGAGAUGGCUGUUAGGGGAGAGUCCUGAGGAUAGGAUGAGAGAGAGCUCAUGAGCACAAGAGAGGAUGCAUCAACUGUAUCCCUGUGUCCAGAGCUGGCCUCCAUUGAUCUACAGGCUGGCCUUACAUAUCCACUGCCGAUGAUGAGACGUCCCCCGGUGUUUUCUGGUGAUCAGUGGCCCGGUCACCAUAAGUGGAGCUCUGCCUCUAGUGAAAGACCUUGUCAUACAUUUCUCCUGGCAGGUUUAUGCCCUCAGUCUUGAGGAUGCAGAGAGAUAGUUUUAAAAAAUUUCAGGGGUUGGUCUGUCUUCGUGAGAUGGCUGGAAGCUUUUGAGAUUACCCCUGUGUAAGCCAGGUGCGGUGGCACACGCCCUUAAUUCCAGGGCUCAGGAGGCAGAGGCAGGCACAUCUCCGUGACUUUGAGGCCAGCCUGGUCUAUGGAGGGAGUUCCAGGAAGAAAGGAGCAAACAGUAGCUUUGGGGUCUGUGUCUACAUGAACAAAAUAAGCGAGACUCACUGUGUCCUUGUCUUUUUUCUCCAUAUUCACAGUCUCCUUCUACCCUUUUCCUUUCCUUCUUCUUGAACAAGGCAGCCUUCCAGUGAUAUUCUGGAGACCAGUGUUUAUGCUAGUAAUAGCUGCCAAGUUAAUAUAAUAAAAUAUAGAGCAGAAAACAUACACUCAUUAUAGUCCUUGCAAGAGCUUGAAUAUACUAUUCAAGUUCCAGUCACAUUUAAGCCCUUGGCUAAAGUAUUUCUAGUUCAUGCUUGGGGCACUGAAGUUGGAAUCGUCAUGUGUGCUAAGCAGGUAAAUGAACCCAGCUGUGAUGCACGCUCAGGCCAGUGCCCUGACCCAUUGAGGAAACUAGCUGGUAUGUUGUCAGUAACUUCAAAACUUGGAGCCUGUUCUUGGCCAGCUGCCAUGUUGUCCGUUUCUCCCAUCACUUUUCCACGUAAUGUAUAACCCACUGCAGCCUUGGAAAGCUGAACUAGAAAGAUGGCUAAAGACAGGGGAGAUGGCUCAGCUGUUGAAAGCACUUGCUGUGGAAGUCUGAGGACCUGAGGUGGAAUCCAAGCAACUACAUAAAGCACUGAGAAAGGCUGAGUAUGUCUUUAAGUCUAGGACUUGGAGUGGGGAUGGGGGCCUUGCUGCCUGGUGGUUCAGUGAGAGACCUCAUCUCAGGGUAAUAAGAUGGAGAGAAAUAAACAGGAUACCCAGUGCCUCUGACCUGCUUAUAUGCAACACCCCCUAUAUAUGUGUCCGCACUUGUGUGAAGGAAAAAGAAAGAAGGAAAGAUGGAUCUGUGACACUCUACUAGAUUCAGACAAACUGUCCUCCUAGGAUGUUGCAAAAGAGGGUGGGGUGGGAGGCCCUAAGAGGGCACACCAGACUACCAUAUGAAGCUGUCAACAGCCACCAGAAGAGCCCCACAUUACAAAUGAUAUCUGUGGUCGGUUUAUGUAAAGAUUCAUACCUGGAAAAUGAGCAUGGGACAGUGUUCGUUGGAGUGUAAAUCUGGCUCAUCAGUUUAAAUUAUGGUCCUCCUUUUUGACAAAGAGGGGGAAACAUAGUGGCGAUAAUUCCCGUAGAGACCUUGAGGGUUAGAAAUCUAUAUUUUGGGAAGCUGGAGAAUGCACUUAUAGUUGAGGAUUCGUUUCACUGACAGAGAUCAGUAAAGGUCUUUCUGGAUAAGGUACGUAUUGAGUUUCAGGACUGUCCUCUUUUCUCCUCCUGCCAGACUGUCUGAAACUUAUCUCACAUAUCAUGGUAAAAAGAGAUGUGGUGGGGAGUUAUAUGAACUGCCUUGCUAAAUGCAUAUCAGAGGGGGACUUUAUUCCAGUUUAGUAGGUUUAAUGAUGUGAUUUCCCAUAUUAAAUCAUAACUGUUUUUUUUUUUUAAAGAAAAUAGAGUGCCCUGCCUUGUCACUGCCCUGGUGUCCAUCCCACUGCCUCCCUGGGGCUUGCUGAUUUGACCCUAUCUCACACCCAGCCGUAGUGUUGCUGUGGAAACAGGAUGAGCCAGUGUGUCCAGCAAUGGCCUUGGCCUUGGCAAACCCAUGCUCUGCUUAGGAGUAGAUGGCACUUCUGCCAAUAUCCAGAUAGGAAUAAAUUUUCAGAAUUAGAUCCUAAAAAUCAGACAUGGUUCCAGUGUCUCUUGUCCCCUCUACUCCAGAGACUGAGACAGGAGGAUGGUUUGAGACCAAAAGCUCAAGGCCAGCCUUGGCAAUAUCUUCAAAAAAGAAUGAAAAGGAGAGAGAGGAGGAGGAGGUGAGGAAGGGAGGAGGGAUGGAGGGGAGGGAAGAUUCAUAUCAAAGUGAGUACGAUGCCUGGAUCACUUAGGACUACAUAAUUUGCAUAUUGGAUGUUUGUGUUUUAAUAAAGCCUCAUCACUUGAUUGUUUGGGUGACUGAUUUUCAAUUCUUUUAUUCUUUCCACUUCACUAGUUCAAAACCGGGAGGUGGUAAAAAAAGAAAAGGACAAACCUACCUGCAUUGACUCCAUGGGGUUGUUGGUUUGUUUCUUUGUUUUGUUUUUAUAUGAGUACACUGUAGAGCUGUCCUCAGACAUACCAGAAGAGGGUAUUGGAUCCCAUUACAGAUGGUUGUGAGCCACCAUGUGGUUGCUGGGAUUUGAACCUCUGGAAGAGCAGUCAGUGCUCUUAACCAAUGAGCCAUCUCUCCAUCCCAAUUUUUGUUUGUUUGUUUGUUUUUGUUUUUAAGAUUCUAUUUUAUUUUUAUUUUAUGUGUGUGAGUGUUUUUCCUCCUUGUGUGCUUACAUAUCUCAGGGGUGCAGGGCCCAGAGGCCAGAAGAGAGUGUUGGAUACUCUGGAAGUAGAAGAGUCAGACACAGUGGUGAGCAUGUGACAUGGCUGGGAAUUGAGUGGCCGGUGCUCUUAACUGCUAAGCCAUCAUUCCAGACCCUGCCUGCAUUUUUGGAUAAAAAUGGAUUUGUGGUUCUUGAACGCCUAUUUUUUUAGGCCAACUCUGACUUGUUUUGUCAUGUACUGAGUUAGAUGAAGAUACACCACAUUAGUAAGAAACCAUCCAUAGCUCUGUGUGUAUGCACUACCAUUAAAUGCCUCGUCCUGAUAGCAGGAAAUGCAGGACCUAGCUUUGUUGUUGUUUUGUUUUGUUUUUGUUUUUGUUUGUUUGUUUGUUUGUUUGUUUUUUGUGUUUUGUUUUGGUUUUUUGAGACAGGGUUUCUCUGUAUAGCCCUGGCUGUCCUGGAACUCACUCUGUAGGCCAGGCUGGCCUCGAACUCAGAAAUCCUCCUGUCUCUGCCUCCCCAGUGCUGGGAUUAAAGGCAUAUGCCACCACUGCUUGGCAGGACUUAGCUUUUUUUAACCAAAAUAAUUGUUUCUUUGUCUGUGGUUCUUUGAUGUAGCCUCACAGGAUCUUCAUAAAUUACAGUCUGCAAUAUAACUGUUCCUGCUUAACAGAGAGAAACUGAGGCUAGCAUUCAUGAUGUAAUUGCUGAAGUAAUUAGUUUGUGUCAAAAGGAAAACCAGGUCCUGGUUCAGUGGAUGAUGCUCUUACAGCUUGCAUGAGAACUGGAGUUUGGAUCCUCAGAACCCCCAUGAGAGCUCUGUGGUGGCCUGUAGUCCCAGCACUUGGAAGGCGAACCUGCUAGCUAGACAAGCCUGUGAAUUCCAGGCUCAGCGAAAGACCACGCCUACUCAAAAUAAAAUGUGGAGAAGGGUGGAGGAAAAUGGCCAGUGCCAAUGUGGGGUCUGCACACACAUACACACAUGCUGCCAGCACAUGUGCAUCUUUCAUAUCACAUACAUGUACACAAAAAUUAUUUCUCAGUGUUUUUAGAAGGAGAGAUACCUUGAUGGUUUUUUUCCUUAGUGUGCUGCAGGCUUUCUGGCAUUUAGGGGCCAUGAACAUGGGUUUUAGAAAGAAGUAGGUUAAGGAGAAAGAACAAAUAAGAAAGGUACAAAAUUCUUCGUACAGUAAGGUUGACUAUUUUUAAAAUUUUGAGACCUCUAUGUUUUCUUUCAUAUUUGCUAAGUUUCUAUUGAAUCUUAUGUCCUUAUUUAUUUAUAAUGAUUUCUAUAUACCAUAAAAAGAUCUAAGGCCUGGAAUGCAAAUAUUUCCCUGUUACAUGAUUGUUAGUCAUAUUCAGCUUUAAUGUGAUUUUAUUAUAGUAGCUAUUUCCACAUGGUUGAUGAGAUUUUUGUAAUUAUAUUUGGAAAUACAGUCUCACUUCUAAAAUUACCUCUUUAAAAAAUUAAAAAACAAACAAACAAAAUACCAAGCAUGGUGGCACACACCUGUAAUAACCCAGCAGUCAAGGGGCUUCAGAAGUGGGGUAGUGAAUUGGAGGCUAGCCUGGGUGAUGGUAGCAGGGGCUAGGCUCUGUCUAAAACACUAAACAAAUCUUAGUGAAAAGACCAAAAGAAUCUUCUUUAAGUCAAGGCAAGUAAAGCUAGAAUCUUAGACCCUCAUUGCGAGUCUGGAUAAAAGUAGAUUGCAGUUCCUGAAUGUGCUUUGUUUCAUUUGUGUGUCCCAUAUAAUUAUCAUUGGUUUGUUCAGACAAUAUUCAUAGACAGAGAUGAAUAAGACCAGAAGCAUAACCCUUGGUCUAGGAAAGCUAGUGUCUGCGGUGGGGGAAGAUGAAGAACCAGUUUAGGAAACAGCCAUGCGUGUUCCUAAACAGUGGAGUUGUCUGGGGGCAGUGGAGCAGCAGUGUUCAGGUGUAAAGGACCGUGUAGAGAAGGAGAUCCACAUCCAAUCCCUCCCUUCAAGGGUUAGGGGUCUGUGCAGAAGGCGAGUAGAAAGAUUGUAGGAGUCAGAGGUGGUGGCUGACUCCAGGGAGACAGUGUUAUCCAGACAUAACAAGACUGGUGCAGGUGUGAACUCACAGAGACUGGCGGCAUGCAUAAGACCUCCACAGGCUCAAACCAGACAGAACCCCAAUAUGGAGAAUGGGAGGUGGGCAAGCUCCACUCCCAAGAUGCUUUUUUUUUUUUUUU